GCGAAGUGACGAUAGCAAUUCAUUUGCCUGUGAAUCCGCUGAAACUAGCGUGAUGUAUUCCUCAAUCCCGACAGGUUCUGAUCGC